rnacentral:rRNA from 1 species
AGUGAACGCUGGCGGUAGGCCUAACACAUGCAAGUCGAACGGCAGCACAGUAAGAGCUUGCUCUUACGGGUGGCGAGUGGCGGACGGGUGAGGAAUACAUCGGAAUCUACUUUUUCGUGGGGGAUAACGUAGGGAAACUUACGCUAAUACCGCAUACGACCUACGGGUGAAAGCAGGGGAUCUUCGGACCUUGCGCGAUUGAAUGAGCCGAUGUCGGAUUAGCUAGUUGGCGGGGUAAAGGCCCACCAAGGCGACGAUCCGUAGCUGGUCUGAGAGGAUGAUCAGCCACACUGGAACUGAGACACGGUCCAGACUCCUACGGGAGGCAGCAGUGGGGAAUAUUGGACAAUGGGCGCAAGCCUGAUCCAGCCAUACCGCGUGGGUGAAGAAGGCCUUUGGGUUGCAAAGCCCUUUUGUUGGGAAAGAAAAGCAGCAGGUUAAUACCCCGCUGUUCUGACGGUACCCAAAGAAUAAGCACCGGCUAACUUCGUG